CAGUCAUCAUUUGAGAAUCGGUGUUCAGAGAGGAUUGUCAAUUCACUGCAUUUGUUUUUACAUUUGGUGCUUUUUAAAGACUGCGGCUUUUUUCUGCACUCAUGCACAGUUGGCUUUACCACAUGUAGUCUAUUUUUCAGAUUGCACCUGUGGAUCACCAAAUCUUACUGAAGCUGGUAAAGAAUAUUCCAGUACACUAGUCUAAAUGGAGCUGACAGCUAAUCCAGAGAAGAAGCUGAUGAAUGAUGGCACGAUUGCCAAUUGUCCACCAUCGAAGUGUAAUGAGAGAGGCCAGUGGGCCAAUAAGAGUGAAUUUAUUUUAUCAGUAGUUGGAGAAAUCAUUGGUCUGGGCAACGUUUGGAGGUUUCCAUAUCUGUGCUUCAAGAAUGGAGGAGGAGCUUUCUUGAUCCCCUAUGUGUUGACUUUGGUCUCUUGUGGAAUCCCCAUUUUCUUCCUGGAGGUGUCUGUGGGACAGUUAACUGGUCAGGGUGGAGUCACAUGUUGGAGGAAAAUAUGUCCUUUAUUUGAAGGUUUAGGCUAUGGCAAUAUAAUGAUUGCACUUUACACGUUGAUGUACUACAUCAUCAUUCUGGCUUGGGCCUUCCUCUACUUAUUCUCCUCCUUCCACACUGUGCUGCCCUGGGCCAGCUGCAACAACACCUGGAACACAGAGAACUGCGUUGAUUAUGGCCAGAAUGAUUCAUUUUAUGGCACUGCCAAUCACAAUACAACAUCUUCAGUUCAAGAAUUCUGGCAGAGGAGAGUUCUGGGUUUGUCUGGAGGCAUUGAGGAGAUGGGUAAUAUGCGCUGGGACCUGGCUGGGUGUCUUCUACUGGGCUGGGUUAUCUGUUACUUUUGUAUCUGGAAAGGAGUCAAGACAUCAGGAAAGGUCGUCUAUUUCACAGCCACUUUCCCCUACGUGAUGCUGAUUGCGUUGCUGAUCCGAGGUGCGACAUUGCCAGGAGCUGCAGAUGGAAUUCGAUUUUACCUUUCCCCUGAUCUAACACGUCUAACUGAUCCUCAGGUGUGGAUGGAUGCUGGAAGCCAGAUAUUCUUCUCCUAUGCUGUCUGCUCAGGCUCUCUGCCGUCUUUGGGAAGUUACAAUAAAUACAACAACAACUGCUACAAAGACACUUUUGCCUUGUGCACACUAAACAGUUUAACCAGCUUUGUUGCUGGAUUUGCAGUCUUCUCCAUCCUUGGCUUCAUGUCGUAUGAGUUGGGCGUCGACAUCUCCACAGUGGCUGAAUCAGGUCCCGGCCUUGCUUUCAUUGCUUAUCCUCGAGCAGUUGCCUUGAUGCCUUUACCACAACUCUGGGCUGCCUUCUUUUUCAUCAUGAUAGUCUUACUUGGACUGGACAGUCAGUUUAUGUAUCUGGAGGGUGCGGUUACAUCCGUAUCAGAUAUGUAUCUGUCAUUCUUUUUCACUGGUCACCGACGUAAACUACUUCUGCUGCUCAUCUGUCUUGUCUGCUUAGUUACUGGCCUGUUUAUGGUCACUGAGGGAGGACUUUAUGUAUUUCUCCUGUUUGACUACUACGCUUGCAGUGGAAUGCCAAUCAUGUUUUUCGGCAUUUUGGAGACCGUUUGUGUGGGAUGGGUAUUUGGUGCUGAUCGUUAUUAUGGAAAAAUAAAGGAAAUGAUUGGUUACCGCCCCUCACCUUAUAUGAAGUACUGUUGGAGGUUCUUGACACCAUCUGUCUGCAUUGGAAUACUGCUCUUCUCUCUUGUGAGGUUCACCCCUCUGAGAUACAAUAACACCUAUAUAUAUCCCGACUGGGGCUAUGCCAUUGGGAUAUUUCUUGCGUUAUCGUCAGUUCUUCUGACUCCUCUGUAUUUUCUCUACGUUAUGGCUGUAACCCCAGGAACAAUGAGACAGAGACUGACAACAUUAUGCACUCCAGCGGCUGAGCUCCUUCAUCCAAGGAAAACUCCUUACCAAGAACCACCUCUGUUUGAUAGUGUGUGCUCUGAACAGGACUGAGAAACCCAAAGAAGCUGGUCUUGUUUUGCGCUGUGGCAGACCUGAUGAAAGCAUCAAUAAACAGGAGUCUAAGGCCUGACCUGCAGUUUAUUCUCAACACACAACAUGGUCUAUUUGAAGCUUUGCUGGAAUGGAUACAAAACAAUAUGUCACAGCGCAAAAGAUGAUUUUUAAAAAUAUUUUUCUGCCUAUCAAAGAGAAAGAAGAAAAGUGAUUUUGAUUGAGUUUCUUUGUGUAAAUUGCGGGUUAACUCACAUACGGAAUAAGACAAGAUCCUUUACUGCUCCUCACGUCAGGGGAAAUUUCCAGUGUUACAGCGGCAACAUCUUUCAAAGCAGCACUAACCACAUUUACAGUAAUAAUAAUAAUUAUAUUAACAAUAAUAUAUACAAUAUAUACAAGAAUGAAAAAUAAAUAAAUACAGUAUUGCUAUAAUUGACAUCAGCAUAAAGUGGCUUGUGGAAUAAAUAUAACUGUAAAAGUGCAAAAUGCCAGCAGUGCAAAGAAUUGUUGUACAGAGUUUACCAUGGUUAAAAAUAAUGAUAUAGUCCAGUUUAUGUUAACAUCAGCCAGUGAUGCUGAUGUUGUAAAGUCUUACAGCAGAUGGAAUGAAGGACCUGCGAUAGCGCUCUUUCUUGCAGGGUGGAUGUCUCAGUCUGCUGCUGAAGGAGCUGCUUAAAGACCCCACAGUGUCAUGCAGUGGGUGAGAGGGAUUGUCCAUGAUGGAUGUGAGCUUUGCCAACAUCCUCCUCUCACCCACCUCCUCUAUGGAGUCCAGGGAACAGUCCAGGACAGAACCUCCUCCUGACCAGUCUGUUCAGUCUCUUUCUGUCCACUGAUGUUAACAAAAUUUUCUUAUAAUUAAUGUAUAAGUAACAGGUUUAUAAAAUAGAUUGAAACUGAAGACAUUUUAAAUAUACAUCAUGCAUGUCAGCUGUACAUUUGGUAACUUUUCUCUUGACUCUAUCAGCAGCCUGUCCACUGGCUAUUCCUUCUUGUUAUUGAAGUGCAGUGUGAAGAACUCUGGUGAAAACUAGAAAACUAUGUUCUUUGCCUUCUUAGCAUGACCAUAUGGGAUUACUUACAGGCUAGAGGACACAGUAGCGAAAUAAGAAUUGAAAUCCAGCGCUGGAUUUUUUUUUUGUUGUUGUUUUUUUUAACCUUGAAACAGCCAUGUACCUGCAGUGUACGGAUUCAGACUUCAGAGGCUUCAUUAAAGCUUAAUGGUCUGACAAUCAUAACACCUGCAUGUAUCAAGAGUAGUAUAAUCACCUAACUCCUGCUGUGUCUGAAUGUUGUUGUUACGUCUAUAAUUGUCUGUAGUCUUAAUGUAUUCCAGAGGCAGCUAGCACAAUGAGCAGAAAAACUAAAUGUUGCAUCAUAUCUUGCCUUGUGUUACUUCUGUGACUCAAUCACAGAAAUAAGGAGAUUACAGUUAUUACUUAAUAUUAGAUAGGUUGGAGAGAUUGGGCCUUAAGCUAAAAUUUAUGUUUAAUUUAUAAUAUGUACAUUAUUGCAUUGCUGCUCUGCAAUCUUGAGAUAAAAUGAUGUUGUCAGCUUGUACGGUGUAUCCAUUCUCACCAACGUCAUGGUCUGUCUAUCUUUUUAUGCAAAACCUUUUCUCCAAGUAUGUGGUCAGGUUUAAUAAGUACUGGUGAAUAGUUGUGCAGUCCAACAGACCUGUUUUUUCAAGACCCCAGCAACAGUGACCAAAGUUAUCUCUGUACCAACAUGUAGUUUAACUACUGCCAAAGUGAUUGUCUUGAACUGAAAAAUUUGAAUCAAAUGAAGUACUUGGAGUCCACCAUGUUUCUACUGUUCAGAUAAUAGUCAAAGGUUCUGAGAUGGUCCUCAUGAACCACUUCACAAGAGCUCUGCAGCAAAAUUUGUUACAAGAUUGUCUCGUUAUCUCCAGUGAAACAGUGACGUUUGCCCCAGAAUCAGAAGACUGCACAAGGACAAUGAGUUAAUUUUACACUUUUCUAACACUGGUGAAACAGUUACAAAGACUAUGACUCAGCGGAAGUGAACCCGUGUUCCCACCAAAACUGUGCAAACGAGUAAACUGAAUACCUUAUGACCUCAAAACAUAAGACACUCCAAAGACGCUACAAAAAAAGAGGAUUAUUUUAUUCCAUCAACACUGAACUGUGUUGUUCUAAAACCUUAAAACUAGGGGAGGAAAUACAGAUAAAUAAAAUUACAUCUUUAAUAAUUAAUUUUAACCUAUGCUACUUUAUGUAUAUGCAAUAAUACCUUUAUAAUGUAAUAUGAUAGUUUUAAGUUUAAGGCUUGUUUCAGUGCCCUGAGUCAUUGAGUGAUGUACAGCAGGACAGACUGCUACAAGUAAGAAAAAUAAACAUUUAUCCUCUCUAUUAUACUUAGUCUGCUUUUUGAUUUAGUAUACAUGUCAUUUUUUCUUUUUUUACAGGGAUGCAUUUGUUGCUGUUUUUUCUGUCUUCUCUGUGCCACAUUUCGUGUCAUAAAUAAGUUAUGCAUCAGAUCUGACUUUGCAUUUUGUGUUGCCUCUUGUGUGGUUGAUCACAAGCUGAGACCUGUUUCUCUGCCACAGGGGUAAAUUGCACAACAGUAAAAGGUCAAAACUUGGAACACCAACUCAAGACAUAUAGUGAAUUAACUAGCCAAUGUAUUGGCUACAAAGCUUCAUCUAGUUUGGCAUUUAUUUUCCACUACUUGCAGAUCCUGGCUUAAUGUACAAACUUGUUGCAGAAAGGUUCCAAGUAAUCAUGUUGUAGUCAUAUAUUAAAUUAUUACUUUACCUAAAACACAUAAUUUUAGAAUGAAGAAAUGUUUUACUUCUGACAGUUUUGAACACUCUUAAGGGAUUAGUAACAUAUUUAAAGGCGUGUGUAAUGAAUUGUAGUUGUUACGACUCAUUGAAUAUUGCAGCAGUUUGCUUAACGACAAGCAUUGUAUGUACAUUACAACCACUGUUCCCUCUAAACUGCGCGCCUGCGCAAUUGCGCACUGCUGACACGGUCUCCGUGCACAGAAAAUCUAAGCUGCGCACAAAAAAAAAUCCAACCUAAAUUGAAAAUAAAAUAAACACGUAACAAUUCAUUCUGUGCUAUUUUUCAAUGUGAGUCAGUGAGUGACCGGUGACUGGCUGCUGCAGCCAAUGAUGCGAUUCACAUACGUAUUUACCAUAGACUGUAUAUAAUGGUAUUUACGCAGCUAAUCAACGUCAUGGCGUCCUUAUGUGCAGCCAUCGUUGUUCUCAUAGGUAUGAAUGAGUAGAUAGGACACGCCCCUUUGAGCUGCGUGCUACAGCGAGGCUAAGCUAGUGGGGGCAAAGUUUCAGUGCAUUCCGUUGAUGUAGACAGCGUGAAAACGGAAACAACAAGUAUGCCGGCUCACUGUGCUGCAUACAAUUACACACUGCGUCGUACGAUUGAGACAAGGAAACUUGGAAUGACUUUUCAUAGGUUUCCCAGAGACUAUGGGUUGAGGAGGAAGUGGAAGUUUGUCGGCUUAGACCUGGUGUCAUUCCAUCAGUGUUAAACUUCCCGGCUCAUCUUGGAAGAGUACGUACCAGAAAGACCACGACCAAGCAGCCUUGAGAUCUGAGGCAGCGUCUCCCUGAGGUCCCUCUCUAUCUCCCCACACAUCCACCAACCACUGGAACACAUCUCCAAAGUUCUGCCGGGCCAGCUCAGCUUCCCCUCAGAAGAAGUGCCGCCACCUGCCAGAUGAAGGAGCCUUUUGAGAGGCAGCUGGCAUCGUGAUUGGACUGUACUUUGGUCUGUUCCAAUCCAGCUUCAGCUCCAGAGACGGCAGGCGGGACGAGUCAACGGAGGCCGGGUGGACGAAGGCAUGCAGCUGAGUACAAUCCAGAAAACAACAGAGGAGGAGUGCAGCUGCCCAGAGCCAGAACAACCAGAGUAGCAUGACCAAAGAACUACAGACUCUUCACAACCUGCUCAAACUCUUGGUACAGGACCUCACCACACGGGUCAAGAAGGUUUCUGUCUCAUUUCUACUCUGAAGAUCACCUUCUCCUGCUCAAACUGCUGACAAAUGUUUCUGCUGCUCUAAAGUCUGCUCUCCAGAACUUCCUAAAAACUCUCAAAGUCUCUUCUGCUGCAGGUUGCUUUGUAGAACUGUUGCAGAAACCUCUACUAAACCACAUGGAGGGGCCUCAAGAUAGUCGUCCAAAUGAAACCAUACAAAAACCAAACUAGCACAACCCAAACGCUAAAGUCUCCUGCAGCCUACCAGAGAACCUCUGAGAACAGAGAAUCAGGACAGGAACUCUUACCUUCUGGACAACCAACGCUGGUUCACAAACAAGAAUACAGAAUGUGUCUGACCAAAAACCUCUGAAGACUCACUACAGCCAAGAUAAAGACACAACUCAGCUGCACCAAAUCCACUAAUCACUGCACACAUUAGCACCAUGUGCUAACUGUGGCUAAAGAACCACAUUUACCAAGACAACUAUCCAGUACAAAGCCCUAAAACACACCAAGAAACACAUUAAAGUCGAUUUUACUGCUGGAAGCUGCAAGCCAACGCCUAAAGAACAAACUAAAGCAACGGAGCCAAACCCAGUUCAGUGGUGAAGAGAAGCAGAGGAAAUGUUUGUCUGCAGCUAAAUAAAGCAGGAAGACACUGAGCUGCUCAGGUGUUCCUGAUAACACCAAGCAGCCACCUGGACAGCCAAUAGGAACACAGCUUACUGGAAGUCCAGAGGGCUGGGUUAGUGAAGGAAAUUUAAUUUAAAGUUGAAGCAGAAAGUUAACAAAGAAAGUUGAAAACCA